rnacentral:rRNA from 1 species
CGCUGAAGCGCACGCCUCGGUGACAUACACAGGUGCUGCAUGGCUGUCGUCAGCUCGUGCUGUGAAGUGUCGGGUUAAGUCCCUUAACGAGCGCAACCCCUGUCGCUAGUUGCUAGCAGGUAAUGCUGAGGACUCUAGCGAGACUGCCGGUGUUAAACCGGACGAAGGUGGGGAUGACGUCAAGUCCGCAUGGCCUUUAUGCCCAGGGCUCGACACGUGCUACAAUGGCAGGUACAGAACGAUGCAAUACCGCGAGGUGGAGCAAAUCGCAAAAACCUGCCCCAGUUCGGAUUGGAGGCUGCAACUCGCCUCCAUGAAGUUGGAAUCGCUAGUAAUCGCGGANCAGCAA